CCUACGGGUGGCAGCAGUGGGGAAUAUUGGGCAAUGGGCGAAAGCCUGACCCAGCAACGCCGCGUGAGGGAUGAAUGUUUUCGGAUUGUAAACCUCUGUCCUCAGGGACGAAGGAAGUGACGGUACCUGAGGAGGAAGCCCCGGCUAACUACGUGCCAGCAGCCGCGGUAAUACGUAGGGGGCGAGCGUUGUCCGGAAUGACUGGGCGUAAAGGGCGCGUAGGCGGCUGUGUAAGUCUGGAGUGAAAGUCCUGCUUUUAAGGUAGGAAUUGCUUUGGAGACUGCAUGGCUUGAGUGCGGAAGAGGCAAGUGGGAUUCCCAGUGUAGCGGUGAAAUGCGUAGAGAUUGGGAAGAACACCAGUGGCGAAGGCGACUUGCUGGGCCGUAACUGACGCUGAGGCGCGAAAGCGUGGGGAGCGAACAGGAUUAGAUACCCCAGUAGUC
rnacentral:rRNA from 1 species